rnacentral:lncRNA from 1 species
GUUGUAUUUCCAUGGCGGACCCUCCGUCUUCUCCUGCUGCUACCGCAGACCACAAUUCUAGUAAACCCGAGCCAGAUAACCCGGAACUUCUGCCUAACCAACCCGAUCCAACAUCCAACUCUGCAACACCACCGCCACCUCCGUCACCACUGACACAGCAACAAACACCAAACCCUAACCAUACCCUGAAUCCGUAUCCUGCUUUAGUAUCAACUCCAGCACAUGCGUUUCCAUCUUACGCGCCGCCAAUUUCCGGCGCUUCUGUGCCUCCCCUGGCUCAGUCGUUCCGUCCGGUUCCGCAAUUCUCUCCGCUGCCGAAUUAUCAAAAUCCUAGCGUUGGAGUGCAGCCGCCUGGGGUGAGUGCACCGUCGGUUAUGGCAUCUGGUGCACCCGGAGCGGUUCCGGUGCCAACUCCGGUGAUGCAGUAUCAGGUUCCGCCCGGUCAGCAUCCAAAUCCGGCUUUGAGACCGUACGCGCCUUUGCCGAACGGGUAUGGGGUCAUUCCUGGAGCUGUUCCUCAAGGAACUAUGCAACCUCCUGGUGGGUUAUUCCUUCCCUUAUUCUUUCUCGCGUGCUCCAUGCCUAUCGAUUUCUUUUUAAUCUUAUUGUUUAAGAAGCGUUGGUUAUUAUUACUACUACUACCAUUAGUAUUGUUUGUUAUUGAGUGAGCAUAUGAACUGGUAGACAACUAGCUAUUAUACGCAUUGGUGAUCAAUUUCUACUUAUUAGUCGUGGAUGGUCGGCAUAGAUAAAUGGUGUUUAUUUUAUGCUUUGGUGGGAAGAAUAUUAAAGAGGGGGGUGUGGAAGAAUUUAGAAAAAGGGGCAUGGAUGACGGGAUGUUUUCUCCUACAGUGUCUUGAUUGAAUACGGUGAGAGAAAGGUUGGAAGGCUUCAUAUUGCUUAAGAGAGUAUCACCUUCUACAACUCCUGUUUUGGUAUGCACGUAUUUGCCUGGUUUCCUUAUUUGAUAGUAUUUUAAUAAACAGUGUAACUGAAAAUUCUUUUUUACUGCACUAAAAUCAGCAUCUGGAGUAUACAAAUUAAAGAAUACAGCAUAAUCCAUGUGUCCUUCUAAAUUAUAUCUGGUUAUGCCGUGUUUAUUUUAGUAGGCUACUUUCUGGUAGUUAUAAGGAUUCUUUCCCUUUCAUGGGUCUAUGAAUUGCCAGCAGCAGACCAUGUUAGCAACUGAGUGCUCCUUGGCUUGUAUUCUAAGGUAUCGCAAUUCUUCCAAUCACAGUCUAUAUCUCUUCCCCCCUCUCUCUUGCAUUUCUUUAUUUUGUUUUCAUGCUGUGCAUUUGACCACUAACGGUUGAAAUAAAUUAAAAUGGCUAAAGUAAAUUAGUCUAGUUGCAUAUCAUUAAAUCCUUUAAGCAUGAGAUGUUCCAAAUCUCAUGUUGCUCAAUGUCAAAAUUCUGCUAUUGGUGCAUGGGAUUGUUUGAAAAGGGCUACUAUUCUACUAUUUUGCAAGUGGAUGCAUAAGGUAAGCCCACUUCACAUAUCCAUGUUUAUGAGCUCGAUCCUUUUUUUUCCAUUAAUGUUCCUUCAGGUUAUCUGUUCAGCUGGUGUGCUUGAUGCGUAUGGUGCCAUCUCUAAUUUGCUUUUAUUGUGUGGUAACAGCAGUUAAUUAUUUUCGUUUUUUGAAUUAUUCUUACACAUAUAUGCAUAUUGGUGAGGACGCACUGCAUUUAGUUUGUGGACCUGUUCUGACAUGAGUGCAAAGAUUUUAUUUUUUUGUUUUUGCAGGAAUUCAACGAUAUCCUUCUCCAUACCAGGCUAUGGUUCGCCCCAUGUUUCCUCCUCGUCCACCUGGAGUGAUUGGUGUGCUUCCAGCAGGAUCCCGCCCUCUUGUUCCAGGGAUUCCUGCUGUUCGUCCAAUUAUCCCCCCCAUCAUUAGGCCAGCUGUUCCAUCUGUCACACCAGCAGAGAAACCACAAACUACUGUUUAUGUUGGCAAGAUAGAACCUACUGUGGAGAAUGAUUUUAUGCUUUCUCUUCUUCGGGUAAAUUAUUGACUUUAGUUGUCUGUUUAUACUUUUUUACCCCUGGUCCUUUUGUGUGUGCUUUGUGUAUUAUUGCUUAUCCAUGGUUGAAGUUUCGUAAUUGUGAAAUCUGAUUCUUUAAAUUUUAUGAAGUUGUGUGGACCUGUCAAGAGUUGGAAACGUGCUCAAGACCCCAGUGAUGGAACUCCUAAACGCUUUGGAUUUUGUGAAUUUGAAUCUGCUGAAGGAGUUCUCCGUGCAUUACGUCUACUGAGUAAAUUUAAUAUUGAUGGGCAAGAACUGGUGGUAUGUACUGAUAGCUUGAUAUUUUCUUGCAAUUGAUUUUGAGGUAAAUGGUGAUAAGUUCCAAAUUAGAUGCGUUUGGUGAUUGAAGCUUGCUGUUCUUUGAUAGACUGAAUGAGAUAAACUUCUCAACAAAAUCUUCAGCUUAUUGUUCUUUCUUUUUGUUUCCUCAUUUCUUUCCCUCUUUCCUUUUGAAACAGAUUUUAAAUUUUCAAUUUUUUGCCACGAAUGUGUUUUUUUUUUAUUUGAUUUUGAUGGGAUACGUAAGAUACAGAUGUAGAAAGUAGUACUUGACCAUAAAGUACAAAAUCUAUUCUGUCCCCGUGUAUAUUGACCAUUUUAAGAUUUUGAUUAUCCAAAGUAAAGGUAUUGUAGCAUAAGCAUUUAUAAUACGAGCAGUUAUCGAUUGCAAAUACAUUUGAAAAGGGUCCUAACUGAAAAAGGCAAUUUCUAUCCAAGCUUAUCUAGACUUAUGGCUGGUAGAGUUACCAGGUUUGGAUUCCUUGAAGCAUAAAAUUGGAACGCCUAAACUGUUGCACGAAAAGGGGAAAAGCAAUAGAGACAUGGGCCAGCCCAUCAAACUAUGUUUGCUUCAAGAAAAUAUGCUCUAGACUUAGACUUGUACAUGUUUUGGUCUUGCUAACUUCUAUGUGUCUUUAAUUAUUUGUUUGUGUUACUAUCAUAUGUGUGCAUCUGGGUUUCUUUCCCGAGAACUGUUUGUGAUCUUUGUUCCUGUGAUUGCAUGAUUUAAUAGCUAAAUGUUAAUCAAGCAACAAGAGAAUAUUUAGAGCGCUAUGUUGAAAAGAAAACUGAAAACUCCAAGAAUCUCAAAGAAAAUCAAGCUGCAAAGAUUGACAAGGAGGAUGGAACAGCCUUAGGUGUUGAAAAGAAUGAACCUUCCAAAUCCUCUGAGGAGGAUUCUAACAUUGACAAGGAGAAGGGGGACAAAGAAAGUCAUGAUCUUGCCAACUUUGGGAUUGUGACUGAUGAAGACAAGGAAGCUGACAAAGAAGCUUUGGAGAAACUUACUAGCAUGAUAGAAGAAAGGUUGAAGACUAAACCUUUGCCUCCACCACCUCCGCAAACACCAGCAGAUGGGUCUGGGAAUACAAACUCAGAACUGCCAGCUAAAUCGAGG